GUUUCUGUCCUGCACAAACAGACUUAUUGCGCGGUUAAGACCCAGACACGCACAUGUAAAAGAUGAAGUCCACGUUUUUCUUCUUUUUCAUCAUUUGGCUUGCAGAUGCAGAGCUGAAAACCCGGAAAGGUUCUCGGGUGGUAUGCACUUUCAAAGACAAGACAUACAGCCCAGGAGACAGCUGGCAUCCUUAUCUGGAGCCCUUUGGAUUCAUGUACUGCAUGCGCUGUGUCUGCUCAGAGACAGGCCAUGUGAAAUGCAAAACGAUCAAGUGCCCUGCUCUGCCCUGUGAACACCCAGUAGCUGAGCCUCAGCAGUGCUGUCCCAGAUGCACAGAUGAGCCCAGGACCCCUGCAGGGCUGAGAGCUUCAGUGAAGUCCUGCAGGUACAACGGGAGUGUUUAUCAGCCGGGGGAGACCUUCACCAAGCUCGACCUCUUCCCCUCCAAGCAGAGCAACCAGUGUGUCGUGUGCACAUGCUCUAAUGGAAAUAUCUUCUGCGGUCUGAAAACAUGCCAACCAAUCACCUGUUCCUCUGCUGUCUCAGUCCCAGACACUUGCUGUUUGGUGUGUAAAGAUACUGGCACAAGUGGGUCCUCAUCAACUGAGGAGGGAAACCAGCAACUGAACAGAGGCGUUAGGCAUUCAGUGGAUCAGUGUUCUGGAGAGCCGGGCAGGGUGCGGUUCGACCGUGCCACUCCCCCCAGGGUCAGGGCUGCUCCCAGAGGCUUCGCUAGAUUCAACCUCAAAGGGGCUUCAGAGACCACCGUGAAGAUUUUGUUGCAGAGGAAACACCAUAGAGCGUGUUCCUACAAUAGCAAGACGUACUCUCAUGGAGACAUGUGGCACCCAGUUUUGGGUAAGGUCCUGGAAUGCAUCCUGUGCACUUGUACUGAUGGCCUCCAGGACUGCAAACGCAUCACUUGUCCCAGCCAGUACCCAUGCCAACAUCCUAUGAAAUCAGCGGGAAAGUGCUGCAAGACUUGUCCAGAACAUAAAACUGAACGUAACCAGACCCAGUGUUAUACUGGACAUAAAAGCAAUGUCUUCGUGUAUAAAGUGGACUCAUCGAUGAAAGUGGACCCACCCGACACGGUCAGGAUCAUUGCUGUUGAAAAACAAAGUACUGCUGAGGUCGAAGUGCAAGUAUGGAAGACUGUAGAAGGUACUGUAACUGUUAGUGAGAACCAUAUCAAAGGAAUAGUUUUACGCUUUUGUUGGAUGAGAGAGCAUUGAAAGCACUCUGACCACUAUGAAGCCAGCAGGCAGUCUUUCGAGCCUAUGUGAAGAUGCCUUGAACCUGCCUUUUUCCCCUGAUAGCCAGCAGGGGGCGUUGCAAUGUUUGCAUAUAAGAAGUCUGAUUGUAUAGAAGUCUAUGAGAAAAUGACCCAACUUCUCACUUUAUUUAUCAUCUCCGUUAACCAUUUCCUGAUAAUUCAAGUAUUUUUAGAGUAAAAUAGACAAUAAAGCAACCUUGGCUACCUUGUGAAUAUCGGUUACUCCCACGUUGUUGUCCAUGUCUUUCUUCUAAGAAAUGUAACACUUUUAAAUGUUUCUCAUCUGAAUUCUUCCUUUAUACAGGUGUUUUAGAGCUAAUGGAUAUUGGUGACGUUGAAAGAAAAAAUAUUGUGGAUAAUCCAGAAAAUUACACAUUACUGACAACACUUAAUGAAGAGACGUGGAAAAAGUUUAAAGAGGAGGGAGAACAUUUGAGUACAGCUCCUCAGACGACAAUCUGUGAAGACGGCAUUCGGGAGAUGGUGACUUUCUUAAAUCCCAAGCAGACAGAAGACGUAUGCUCACCCUGAAGGUUGUUUUACUCCCGUGACACUCCUUGUAUCGACCAAUAACUACAUGGAUAUCAUACAGUAAAUACUUUAUUCAUACAUGUUGAACUUGGAUGUCCUGCGUCAUUCCUGUAUUACAAGUGGAAUUUCAAAAUUAUAAUACUGUUUUUCGUGUUUUUAACCAUCACACAUAUUUUAAAGUUACAAAACACAACUGGCAGAUAGUUCUGACACCUUUCUUGAUUAAAAUGUGGUUUUGUUUUGUGGAGUAUAGAGAUCAGAGUUUAGAGCAGGAGACGCCCUCAGUGUGAAUCUUUUGGAUGAUUGAGGACCUUUGGGGAUCAGCAUUUUAGGCAUCUGUUCAAAAUGUAAAGGUUUUCUAAGGCUGUUAUAUGAUUAUCAACAUAUUUAUUGUUAAUACAAACAGAGCUUUGACAACUUAUUUAAAAUAUAUGUUUUGUUGAAUGCUUUUUGUAUAUACAUUUACAUUUCUUUGCAUCCAGAGUCAUUUUAUUAGGGUUUGAUCUGUCAGCUAAUACAGGGCUGUGCCGAAGCUGCUUGUUUUUUAGCGAGAAAACAGCCUUUUCCUAAUCCUUCUGAUGUGAAAAUGAAGACAUUGUGUAGCUAUUUUUAUGCAGCCACAGGAUUUGGUUUGUUAUUAUACACUAAUGACUUUCUAUCAAUCCACAUACCAGAAAUAUUUCUUUUUUAAAGUGGUCAUAUUCGAUAUAGCUGAAUGCACUCUGUACACCUGCUUACAAUUUUAACCCAUAAAGUUAUUCAGUGUUUUACACAAGUCAAAA